UACGUAGGUGGCAAGCGUUGUCCGGAUUUACUGGGCGUAAAGAGCGCGCAGGCGGUCGUUCAAGUCGCGUGUGAAAGCCCCCGGCUCAACUGGGGAGGGUCACGCGAUACUGAUCGACUCGAAGGCAGGAGAGGGUAGUGGAAUUCCCGGUGUAGUGGUGAAAUGCGUAGAUAUCGGGAGGAACACCAGUGGCGAAGGCGACAUCCUGGACCAACACUGACGCUGAGGAGCGAAAGCCAGGGGAGCAAACGGG
rnacentral:rRNA from 1 species